ACAAAGGAUUUACUGAACAUUUAUAAAGAGUCUAAGACAACAGAUAGAGUUCACUAUGCAUGUUGGUUAUCAGGAUCUGUUUGGGUUAUCACUGGUCCCUAUCAAUAGAUAACACACUACACCUCUACCCCGUCUACUCGUAUCUGUCCACAUACCCAGUCAACCAGGGACCGGCCACCAGAAACAUUUACCGUGCAUUACCCAGGAGAAGACCAUCCACCAUGGAAGGUUAUUGUCCAGCGUGCUACAGGGAAUACAUCACAUCCCGAGAGGCCAUUGUUAUUGGUUGUGGCCAUGCCUUCUGCAGGGACUGCCUCAUCAAACUCCGGCAGUCAGGUCAUGGCAAGUGUCCGUUCUGCCACACACUGCCAACACUGCUACGAGCACCCAGCCCAGCAGGCAGUGUGACCAGCAUGAGGAUGGAUGAUGGAGUCAGUGUACGUAGAUCCUCUGCUACAAACAGACCAUGGCAGAAUGAAAUCCCAAUAUCAACUAGUGAACAAAUAGUGAACACAGCACAGCGAGUCACCCCAUCAACACAGCCUUUCACUAGCCAACGGAAAUUAUCAGUCCCUAACCUGUCUACCACUAGCCAGCCACUCUAUAAUGGUGGAGUACAGGGUGCAGGUAGCCUGAGAAAGACUCAAGAGAAUGGCUCCAGAGAAUGCGUCCACGGUGACCAGAUUGACUCACAACUCAGAAACAUGAGUCACAAGUUGAGGGAGAGAAGCAUAGACAGAAGAGACAGAGAGACUAAGGAUACAAAAGUUAACGAAUUAAAAAGGAGAUUUGAACAGCUGUCUUACAACCCACCCAAACAACUGCUAGAGAGUAAGGAGCGGCUGGACAGUGUCAGUAAGAGGGGAGGCUUACACGUGCCCCAGGUGGGUGAGAGACCAGCUACCAGCACUCACAGCCACUGGUCUAGAAACUCAGUGAAUGAAGAACCUAAUAUAGAACUGGUGGAGAAGCCAAGGUCAAAUUCCUCCUCCAGACGACAGCACGUGAGCCAGGGAGAUCCUUGCACAAUCAAGACAGAUCACAGGGCGAGCUCAUCCCUGAAGCGACAAAGUUCAAGGGACCGGAUCUAUGGCAGUCAUGGAGAACUGUCUAAAGUCCACACUCUUGAGACUCGGAGAUCUUGUGAAAAUCUAUAUAGCAAUAACGUUAAGUCAAACAGGAACAGAACAGACAACAAGACGACCCCUUCCCUAAAACAAUUAAACUCGGGAGAACGGAUCUUUAGUAGUACCGGUGACCUGUCCAAAAUACGAGCCCUCGAGAAGCGAAGUUCACGUCAGGAGCUGUACGGCAGCAGAGAAGAUUUAUACAGGACCAAAACCGACGUGAAGACAACUAACUCUCUUAAAAGGUUUGGCUCAAGGGAACAACUCCUCGAUGGCAAUGAAAGAGUACCCAAAGGUCACUGUGUGGAAACGGCGGGCUUCAUUGCACGACUAAGCUCUCACCCUCAACUGCAUGGUAGCAGGGAAGAGCUGUACAGGACCGCAGGUAGUAAGCCCUCAACAGCCGUCACCGCCCACGACAACAACAAGGCACAACUGUUCCGACUGAAAAGUCAUGACCAGUUAACCCUGGCAGCUGAUCAGCAGGAGGGGAGGCCGGACACUGUGGCCGCCGGAGUAUAUGCAGCACGGCCCGUGUCUAUUGUGGAAGGUCACUCUCACCAGCCUCACUACCUUGAUGAUGCUGAUCGGGGGACACAAGAUAUGCUGACCACACUACAUAAACAACGAGAAGACAGUUAUGCUACCAUCAUAAGCCUCAAGGACAAACUCAGUCAAGAAUCAAAAGCUAAGAACGACCUUGAGCUGAAGGUCCUCAACAUUCAGGAAAACAUCACUGAACUGCAGAGUCUCUUAGAGCACCACAAGGAGGAUAAACUGAAGUGGAAGAAAGAUAGGAUGGAGAUGGUGGAACACAUCUCCUCACAGAACUUAGAGAUAAACAGCAUGAAACAAGAGAUUACCCAGUUAAAACACCAGUUGUCUUCAGCGGAUAUGGAGGAAACACUGAAGCAGCAGGUGAAGGAGUUAAGGUCUAAGCUGAGGCAGGAGCAACAUACCUGGACCAAAGAGAGAGUUAACAAGGACCAGGAGAUAAAUUCUCUCAAGUUGAAGGUGAAGGAUUUGACCAACAGACUCCAGCAGUAUAAGGAAAAGGUGACACAGAAGUCAUCGUCUGAAGGUCUCAUGGCAGAGAGGGAACGAGAGAUCUCCUCCCUGAAGUUGCUACUGGAGGAGAAGGAGGAGAAAAUAAUGCAGUACAAGUCAGCAUCUCUUGCUGCUGUGAGUGAGGUGCCUGUUGGUCUACCUAACCUGGGCAACACCUGCUACAUCAACUCUGUCAUCCAGUGUCUCUUCAACAUACAAACCUUCAGCCUCUACUUCACCAGUGAACAAUACAAAAAGCGUUGGAGACACACGAUGAGAUCUUCCAGGGGAAUGAUCAGCAUGAAGCCCACGACCUUCUCUCCUCCCUCUUGUUGUGGCUCCACAAUGACCUGGCCAAGAAGGACAACAACCUUCACAACAGCCUGGAGACCUCCACAGUGUCCACACUCUUCCAGGGAGUCAAAGAAUCUGCAAUAUUUUGUCGAGUGAAGAACAAGCUCGUCAUCUUGACCGAGGAGAGCUUUGACAGCUUGAGCUUGUCUGUCUCAAGCACUGGUCAUUGUUCCCUGCAGGAGGUGAUGACGAACCACAUGAGGCCACAGGAGAUAGACUGGGAGUGUCAGCACUGUCGAGGCAUACACAGGUGUGUCCAGUACGCCUCCUUCAUCAAGCUCCCUCCCAUUCUUGCU
rnacentral:misc_RNA from 1 species